rnacentral:tRNA from 1 species
GGGCGUGUAGCGCAGUGGUAGCGCGUCCGCUUUGCAUGCGGAAGGACCAGGGUUCGAUCCCCUGCUCGUCCA